rnacentral:rRNA from 1 species
AGAGCGAACGCUGGCGGCAGGCCUAACACAUGCAAGUCGAGCGCCCCGCAAGGGGAGCGGCAGACGGGAGAGUAACACGUGGGAACGUACCCUUUGGUUCGGAACAACACAGGGAAACUUGUGCUAAUACCGGAUAAGCCCUUACGGGGAAAGAUUUAUUGCCAAAGGAUCGGCCCGCGUCUGAUUAGCUUGUUGGUGAGGUAACGGCUCACCAAGGCUACGAUCAGUAGCUGGUCUGAGAGGAUGAUCAGCCACAUUGGGACUGAGACACGGCCCAAACUCUUACGGGAGGCAGCAGUGGGGAAUAUUGGACAAUGGGCGCAAGCCUGAUCCAGCCAUGCCGCGUGAGUGAUGAAGGCCCUAGGGUUGUAAAGCUCUUUUGUGCGGGAAGAUAAUGACGGUACCGCAAGAAUAAGCCCCGGCUAACUUCGUGCCAGCAGCCGC